rnacentral:rRNA from 1 species
CUGAUGCAGCAACGCCGCGUGAGGGAUGACGGCCUUCGGGUUGUAAACCUCUUUUAGUAGGGAAGAAGCGAAAGUGACGGUACCUGCAGAAAAAGCACCGGCUAACUACGUGCCAGCAGCCGCGGUAAUACGUAGGGUGCAAGCGUUGUCCGGAAUUAUUGGGCGUAAAGAGCUCGUAGGCGGUUUGUCGCGUCUGCUGUGAAAUCCCGAGGCUCAACCUCGGGCUUGCAGUGGGUACGGGCAGACUAGAGUGCGGUAGGGGAGAUUGGAAUUCCUGGUGUAGCGGUGGAAUGCGCAGAUAUCAGGAGGAACACCGAUGGCGAAGGCAGAUCUCUGGGCCGUAACUGACGCUGAGGAGCGAAAGCAUGGGGAGCGAACAGGAUUAGAUACCCUGGUAGUCCAUGCCGUAAACGUUGGGCGCUAGAUGUAGGGACCUUUCCACGGUUUCUGUGUCGUAGCUAACGCAUUAAGCGCCCCGCCUGGGGAGUACGGCCGCAAGGCUAAAACUCAAAGGAAUUGACGGGGGCCCGCACAAGCGGCGGAGCAUGCGGAUUAAUUCGAUGCAACGCGAAGAACCUUACCAAGGCUUGACAUACACCGGAAACGGCCAGAGAUGGUCGCCCCCUUGUGGUC